rnacentral:tRNA from 2 species
AGGAUAAUAGUUAAAUUAACAUUUAAUUUGCAUUUAAAAAAUACUGACUAUCAGUUUAUCUU